ACACACUUACUUAUUUGUUUUAGGAAUUGCUCAUGCAACACAAAGACUGAGAAGUGCCACAGUCUGCCAUAUUCAUAGAGAACCAGGGAAGCUGGUGGCAUAGUUCAGUCUGGGUCUGAGAACCUGGGAGCACCAACGUCUGUCUGAGGACAGGAGAAGAUGGAUGUCCCAGCUCAAGCAAACAAAGGAAAUUCACCUUCCUCCACUCGUUCCAUUUUGGCCUCAACAGGUUGGAUGAUGCCCACCCACCCUGCCUUCGGGCUUUGAGAGAACGUGAUGCAGUCUCCUUGCUCUGCACGCCCGCGUCACUCGCCAGCCCUGUGUCUCUCUGCAAGUGGGAAUCAGUUCCUCUGUCUCACGUGGCUGAGGUUGUUGAGUGGCUCUUCUAGACUGCGCACGCUCAAGUGGGAGCUGUAGGCACGUCCAUCGCUCCGUUUCCUCCAUGGCGGUCCGGGAUGGAGAAGGCACCAGGCUCAGGAGUGAAAUCAUAUGGUAUUCGUCUUCCUCUGGCUGACAUACUUCGCUUAGCCUAACACCUUCUGGCUCCAUCCAUAUCGUCGCAAAUGGCAAGAUUUCCUUUCC